rnacentral:rRNA from 1 species
AGGGUGUAAACGCUGCAGACUUGGUGUUGGAAGCCCUUUGGGGGCAUUCAGUGCCGGAGAGAAGUUGUUAAGCCUGCUGCUUGGGGAGUACGUCCGCAAGGAUGAAACGUAAAGGAAUUGGCGGGGGAGGCACCGCAACGGGAGGAGCGUGCGGUUCAAUUGGAUUCAACGCCGGAAAUCUUACCGGGACCGACAGCAACAUGAAGGCCAGGCUGAAGACUUUGCCGGAUUAGCUGAGAGGAGGUGCAUGGCGUAGUCGUGU